GCAACCAGUCCCGGAAGUCACUGGAAGCUCAUCCGCGGAGACGCCGCAAGGCGGCAGAAGAUGGCGGAGGGCGGCGGCGUAGAGAGGGAGGAAGCGGAGAGGAGUUCUUCCAGGCCGCGGCCCCCAAGCGCGCGGGAUUUACAGUUGGCCCUUGCAGAAUUAUAUGAAGAUGAAGUGAAAUGCAAAUCUUCCAAGUCUGAUAGACCUAAAGCUACAGUCUUUAAGAGCCCACGAACACCACCUCAACGAUUUUAUUCAGGUGAACAUGAAUACAGUGGAUUACGUAUAGUUCGACCUUCAACUGGGAAAAUUGUGAAUGAACUUUUUAAAGAGGCAAAGGAACAUGGGGCUAUCCCUCUAAAUGAAGCCACAAGAUCUUCAAGUGAUGACAAAUGUAAGUCAUUUACAGGUGGAGGAUAUAGACUGGGUAAUUCCUUUUGUAAACGGUCUGAAUACAUAUAUGGCGAAAAGCAGCUGCAAGAUGUUCAGAUUUUGCUUAAGCUGUGGAGCAAUGGUUUCAGUUUAGAUGAUGGAGAAUUGAGACCUUACAAUGACCCAACAAAUGCUCAAUUUUUAGAGUCUGUUAAAAGAGGAGAGAUUCCCUUGGAGCUUCAGCGACUGGUUCAUGGUGGCCAAGUGAACUUGGAUAUGGAAGAUCAUCAGGAUCAAGAAUACAUAAAACCUAGACUGAGGUUCAAGGCUUUUAGUGGAGAAGGACAAAAACUUGGAAGCCUUACACCUGAAAUAGUUAGCACACCUUCCUCCCCAGAAGAAGAGGACAAAUCUAUACUUAAUGCAGUUGUUCUUAUUGAUGAUUCAGUGCCAACUACAAAAAUUCAAAUCAGGUUAGCAGAUGGGAGUCGUUUGAUACAAAGAUUCAAUAGAACACACAGGAUCCUGGAUGUCCGGGACUUUAUUGUACAGUCUCGUCCUGAAUUUGCAACUCUUGACUUUAUUCUUGUGACAUCAUUUCCAAAUAAGGAGCUAACAGAUGAAAGCUUGACACUACAAGAAGCAGAUAUUCUUAACACUGUGAUACUUCAGCAACUAAAAUAAUAUUGCUCCUAUCCAUUCAGGUGCAUAUAGGAAUAGGUAAUGUGCCAUAUUAAUAAGAAAAGUACUGUACUUCCAGCAUUAAAAAAAAAACCAAUUAUUUUUGUUGAUUGUACAGAUAAAUUUUGGUUUUAUUGGUAUUCUAUUGUCCAGGCUUAAUAUAGAUGAGUAUGGAGGUAUAGAUCUCAAGAUAAAUAUGUUUGAAUUUUUAGUUGCAGGGCUAAUUUAUGUUGAUAACUUAUAAAUAUCUAGGCAAACCAAUUUGUUACAUGCUGAGCAUUAAUUAGCAAUAUUUGUUGGAGAGAAAAUGAACAAAACCCCUUUUUGAUCAAUGCAUUUGGUAAAAUUUGCACUAAAGUUUCUUAAUGCAGCAAUGACCAAUAGCCAUUAAGAAUUUCUUUGCUCAAAUAAGUUGAAAAUUUUUUGUAAUACUUAAUGAAAAGUAUAUUCUGAUUUUGAAAGUAUUUGAUCAUACAAUAAUUAUUUCUCCUAUUAAGGAUUUACACACCCUUUUUAUUUAUUUAGCUACAUUAGUAGUAUCACAAAGUACAGUUUGAUCUUAAAUUUAUUUUACAGAACUAUGACCAUCAUAAACUAGAAUCAAAAUGAUUUAUAAAUCAGCAGUUCUUAUGAAGAUAUGGGAACUGAACCUAUGACCUCCUGCAUGCUAGGCAGGCAAUCAUUCUCCCAGGACCUUCAUCCUGAGCCCUUACACAUCACUUUUGCAUGAAAAAGCAUUAUUUACAGUACACGAGGUAUUGGAACAAUCUAAGGAUCCUACAACAGAUGAAAUGGAUAAGGAAAAUAUGAUAUUUGCAUACAAUGGAAUAUUGUUCAGCCUUUACAAGGAAGGAAAUCCUGUCCUUUGUGAUACCAUGGAUAAACCUGAAUGACAUUCUGGUAAACCUGGGUAAAUCCAGGUUAUCUUAUGGAAAGAAAGAAAAUUUCCAAGACAGAAUUAUGUCAAAAAGGCAUAAAAGCUACAUUGAUACAUUUCUCGCUGGCCUAAUUUGGUAUCAUCUGAGCGUAAAAAUUCAACUGCAUCAUUCUGGGUCUAUGAAAAUCUGGAAGUCCAUGAUAACUCUGAAGUCAUUAAAAAGCUCUUUGUCACCAUUGGAAGUGGCCAUUAAACUAAUGCUUCACAAUGAGUAAGUAGAGUGAAGAGCAUUUAUCCUCCCCCGUUAAACCUGCAUUUCUGAGUACCUGGUAGCCCUAGUUGAUAAAUCCAAAUUGUACUUUAUAGAAGAAUGCCAAUUAAUGCAUGUUGAUGAUGAUAGAAAUGUGUAAUCACUAUUCUGCAACCUCUGGUGAAAAUUAGGCAAUAGUUAUCAGUUGGUGUAAAAAUUAUUAAAUGCUCAAUUGAUAGGGAAAUAAAUUUUGUAUAUGAUUUCCCCAAUGAAUGGGUAUAUCUAUGUAUAUGUAUAUAUAUAAUGAUUCCAUUCUUAACACAAGGUGAAAAUCAUAGCUAGACAAUGGCAGAGGAGAACUGAAAAUAAAAUUACACAAUGAAGAAUAUGGUUAUAGUCAUCCUAUUUCAUUGACCAAACUUAGCAUUCAUAAUAGUGGAACAGCCAGGUAUUAUCCAUAUCCUAAUACAUAACCUGUGGUGCAUACAUAUCACCUUUGCUACUCUGUACCGAAAGGUUAACUUGAAUCUAUGAAGCCUUUAGUUGAAAUUUUCAGUUUAUAGGAAAUUCAUAAAAGAAUAAGUUGCCAUAAAGAGGCAAUCAGACAAAUCCAGAGCGUGAAAUGUUUUACAGGACAGGUCAGUGUCAUGAAAAGAAAAAGCUUCUAGAAUGAAGGAGCAGUAAGGUGUGGCCAGAGUAAGAAGACUUGGACUGGAUCCUUUAUGGACAGAUGAGCUGUACAUGACAUUUGGAGGGCAACUUGUAACAUAUGGACAAGAUAUGUGGAAAACUGAUUAAUUUUUUGAUAUAUGAUAAUAUUUUGGCUAUAUAUAAAAUUUAAAUUCAUACUAGAAUGUUCUUCAAAAAAUGUUAAUAGUCAUUAACACAAAAAUGUUAAUCGUGAUGGGGUAUAGGGCUUUUGAGGCAGGCCUGGGUUUGACAUGUGCCUUAAUUUACCAUCUGGUGACCUUUUAACUCUUUCUUACUGAAUCUUACUAUAGAUACUGAGAAUUAUAUGAAAUAAUGCAUAAUUUUAAAACUACUGCCUUUUCCCCAUUACCAUCCUGAUGGGUGACCCAUCUACAAUUUUUUUUCUUAAUUCUUAUCCCUUAUUAAUCACUUACUGUUUUAAACUUCCACUUGAUUUCAUUAUUUUCACUCAAUUCUUUUUCUCUCCCUCCACCCCAGAACUCUGUGAAUUAUCUUUUGUUAUCUGUAUGCCAUUGAGUAUCCGUGUAUCAUGAUUAUUCAUCUCUCUUAGGUCUUUUUAGCAUUAAAAACUUCAAAAAUCUCUGACACUUUGUCACAUUCUAAUUCUUAAUUUAAGACAAUAUCAUUUUUUACUGCUCUUCAUAAUCUCCUGUAGCCAUUGAUUGUCUAAAAUGCUAUCUGUUCUCUCCCCUUCUCUCCCAUCUCCUGUUCUCUCCAAACUGAAGGGCAUAAGAAAUAAUUUUGACCUUGAAUGUUCCUACACUUCUGAUGUCUUUAUAUUUCCCUUAUCUUGCUCCUCAGUAGAGUCAAACAUCACAUUUCCCUGGAAAGUGAUUUGCAUAAAUGCUUGAAUUACCUCAGCUAUUCACCCUUCAACCAAUUCUCUCCCAAAAUUGGACUCAAAUUUCUGUCAUCCUCAACUGUUAGAUCCAGCCAUGAUAAGGUCUUUUUAAAUGUCUUCUUUCUUAACUAAAUCCCCAAUUUUUCUUGUGAUCCUUAUUACAGAUUUUCAUUUGCUCACGAUUGUGAUGAAUAUCUAAUCUCAUAUGCAUUAAUUGACAUCUAGCUUACUUUCCCAGUAAUUUCACAUCAUCUUCUCCCUCACCUUCAUUUGUCAAUAAUGAAUGAUUUCUUCCCUCUCUCCCCCAACCAGGGAUCAAACUCAGGACUUUGCGCUUACCAGGCAGGUACAAUGUCACUGAGCUACAUCCCAGCCCUGAAUUAUUUCUUAUAGUUUCAUUACACUUAGUUUCUAAUUGCUUCAAUUUCUGUUAAAAGUACAGAAGCAUUUUCUGGAGCAAAUUCACCCAAGAAAACAUAUUCUGGUAAUGAACCAAUGAAUGUUGGAAGAUAAAAUGAAACAUGAUUUAGCAAAAUAGUUAAUUGCUUUGUAUUAUCCUGCUUAUUUUUUUAGAGAUCUGAAUGUUUAGAACAAUAUAUACUUAGAGUCACUAAUAUCUGACAAACAGCCUUUAAAGUCAUAAGUCACCAGAGAUGCCUCAACCCCUAUUGCAACUAUGUAUUUCAAUUCUGUGUAGCCUGGUGGAAUAAACAUUGCUCUGGAA